GUGCUCCUUCGGCAACACAUAUACUAAAAUUGGAACAAUACGAGAAGAUUAACAUGGCCCCUGUGCAAGGAUGACACACUAAUUCAUGAAGCGUUCCAUAUUUUU
ensembl:snRNA U6 spliceosomal RNA